rnacentral:rRNA from 1 species
CCUACGGGGUGCACCAGUGGGGAAUAUUGCACAAUGGGCGCAAGCCUGAUGCAGCCAUGCCGCGUGUAUGAAGAAGGCCUUCGGGUUGUAAAGUACUUUCAGCGGGGUGGAAGGCGAUAAGGUUAACAACCUUGUCGAUUGACGUUACCCGCAGAAGAAGCACCGGCUAACUCCGUGCCAGCAGCCGCGGUAGUACGGAGGGUGCAAGCGUUAAUCGGAAUUACUGGGCGUAAAGCGCCCGCAGGCGGUCUGUCAAGUCGGAUGUGAAAUCCCCGGGCUCAACCUGGGAACUGCAUUCGAAACUGGCAGGCUGGAGUCUUGUAGAGGGGGGUAGAAUUCCAGGUGUAGCGGUGAAAUGCGUAGAGAUCUGGAGGAAUACCGGUGGCGAAGGCGGCCCCCUGGACAAAGACUGACGCUCAGGUGCGAAAGCGUGGGGAGCAAACAGGAUUAGAUACCCUCGUAGUC